UACAGAGGUGGCGAGCGUUAUUCGGAAUUAUUGGGCGUAAAGGGCGCGUAGGCGGCCACGCAAGUCCUGGGUGAAAUCCCUCGGCUCAACCGAGGAACUGCCUCGGAAACUGCAUGGCUCGAGGCCGGGAGAGGGUAGCGGAAUUCCCAGUGUAGCGGUGAAAUGCGUAGAUAUUGGGAGGAACACCGGUGGCGAAGGCGGCUACCUGGACCGGUUCUGACGCUGAUGCGCGAAAGCGUGGGGAGCAAACAGG
rnacentral:rRNA from 1 species